rnacentral:rRNA from 1 species
CCCUUAGAUGUCCUGGGCCGCACGCGCGCUACACUGAUGCAUGCAACGAGUUUAUAACCUUGGCCUGAAAGGUCUGGGCAAUCUUUUGAACGUGCAUCGUGAUAGGGAUAGAUUAUUGCAAUUGUUAAUCUUGAACGAGGAAUUCCUAGUAAACGCGAGUCAUCAGCUCGCAUUGAUUACGUCCCUGCCCUUUGUACACACCGCCCGUCGCACCUACCGAUUGAAUGGUUCGGUGAAGAUCUCGGACUUCGAUAUUUAUUCUUUAUUGAGUUUAUAUUGUGGGAAGUUAUCUAAACCUCAUCAUUUAGAGGAAGGUGAAGUCGUAACA